GAUGAACGCUAGCGGGAGGCCUAAUACAUGCAAGUCGAGCGGUAGAGUGACUUCGGUUGCUUGAGAGCGGCGAACGGGUGAGUAACGCGUACACAAUCUACCUUUAAGAGGGGAAUAGCCCUGGGAAACUGGGAUUAAUGCCCCAUGGCAUCACGAGACGGCAUCGUUUUGUUGAUUAAAGCUGAGGUGCUUAGAGAUGAGUGUGCGUCUGAUUAGCUAGUUGGUGCGGUAACGGCGCACCAAGGCGACGAUCAGUAGGGGGCGGUGAGAGCGUGGACCCCCACCACGGGUACUGAGACACGGACCCGACUCCUACGGGAGGCAGCAGUAAGGAAUAUUGGUCAAUGG
rnacentral:rRNA from 1 species